GACGAACGCUGGCGGCGUGCUUAACACAUGCAAGUCGAACGGAAAGGCCCCUUUGGGGGUACUCGAGUGGCGAACGGGUGAGUAACACGUGAGUAACCUGCCCUUGACUUCGGGAUAACUUCAGGAAACUGGGGCUAAUACCGGAUAGGAAUCCUUGCUGCAUGGUGGGGGUUGGAAAGCUUCGGCGGUUUUGGAUGGACUCGCGGCUUAUCAGCUUGUUGGUGGGGUAGUGGCUUACCAAGGCUUUGACGGGUAGCCGGCCUGGGAGGGCGACCGGCCACAUUGGGACUGAGAUACGGCCCAGGCUCCUACGGGAGGCAGCAGUGGGGAAUAUUGCACAAUGGGCGGAGGCCUGAUGCAGCAACGCCGCGGGCGGGAUGACGGCCUUCGGGUUGUAGACCGCUUGCAGCAGGGGCGAAGCUUGUGGUGACGGUACCUGCAGAAGAAGCACCGGCUAACUACGUG
rnacentral:rRNA from 1 species